GUCAAAUCGUAUGACGUAUCACUGAGUGUUUAUGAAUAUAAUAUACUUUUGUUCCAAAUGCCUCAAUGCAGUGCGUUAAAUUGUAAAACAGAGGAAUACAUUUAUUUCCAAAGGAAAGUAAACGUAGAAAGCAAUGGGAAUCUGCGUUACGUAUAAAAACUUCGAAGCUAGUAGCACAGCACGAUUGUGUGUUGCGCAUUUUACAGAAAAAGAUUAUUACGGGAAAAUCAAUUAUACAGGUUAUGAGCUCCUUGCAAAAUUUCUUAAAAAGACAGCUGUGCUAUCUGUGUUCUUCUUAACGAAGAUAAAACCAGAAAAUCCAGCUGCUGUGGCACAUCAACAACGUAUUGAACGAAGAAGUCAGUCGAGUAACAAAUGUAGAUAAUUCACAACCAUCAAGUAGCAAAGUUAACCUAAUAAGUGACAGAGACAAUUUACUGGAAGUUGAUCAUGGAGAAGCGAGUCAAAACCAGAAGACAAAAGUGCAGUAGGAUGUACAUAUAUUAUGCAUGAAUUUAUAUCUAAGGGCACUCAAGUUGAUCAAGAACACAAAUAUGGGUUUAUGAAUAGAUAUAAAGAUGAUAAUGCCACUAUUAAGUUUUACACAGGUUUUGAAUCAUAUAAAAAUUUAAUUUAGUCUACUCAGCUCUUAGUCCAGUGGUUCACAAAAUAAAAUAUUAUGGCAGCAAUGUGAUUAUUCUUAGCAGUGAUUCUAAUUCUAAUUUAUUAGUUGGUGCAAUACCUGGUAGCUUGCUGUUAUAUUGUUCCCAAGCAUUUGCAGGAUUGAUAAGUGAUCAGUAGGCAGUGGAACAAAGUGACCUUUUAGCAAAAUGUGAAAGUGGUAGUAGUAUACUGACUGACAGAGGAUUUAUGAUACAAUAUAUAUUUCAUCAGACAAAAAUGUGACCAUUAGGAUUCCCAGUUUCUUAAAAGAAAAAUUUCAGUUGCCUGGUCUUAAUGUAAUAAAAGAUAGGGAGCUUGCAAACAAAGGAGUUCAUAUAGAAAGAAUAAUAGGAUUAACAAAGACAAACAAAAUUUAAAAAUGAAUUAGACCAUAACUAUAUCCCAAUAGUGAGCAAAAUCUUUUUUUAUGUUUUAUGUGCUAAACAUCUACAAUUUCAGGAAUUAUACUAUUACUAUAUUGUGAAAGAUAUUAGAUAAAAAGAUGUAAUUAUUUCAAUUUAUUUAUUAAUUGUAAAUAGUUCUUAUACACAUACUUAUUUACAUUUCUGGUUCUAAAUUAUGUACAUAAAAGUUUAACAAAUUUGUCAACAUGCCAUUAAUAAAUGAGUCAUCUCUA
rnacentral:lncRNA from 1 species